rnacentral:rRNA from 1 species
UAGGGAAUCUUCCACAAUGGACGCAAGUCUGAUGGAGCAACGCCGCGUGAGUGAAGAAGGCUUUCGGGUCGUAAAACUCUGUUAUUGAAGAAGAACGUGCGUGACAGUAACUGGUCAUGCAGUGACGGUAUUCAAUCAGAAAGUCACGGCUAACUACGUGCCAGCAGCCGCGGUAAUACGUAGGUGGCAAGCGUUGUCCGGAUUUAUUGGGCGUAAAGCGAGUGCAGGCGGUCUUUUAAGUCUGAUGUGAAAGCCUUCGGCUUAACCGAAGAAGGGCAUCGGAAACUGGGAGACUUGAGUGC